rnacentral:rRNA from 1 species
UACGUAGGGCGCAAGCGUUGUCCGGAAUUAUUGGGCGUAAAGAGCGUGUAGGCGGUCAGGUAGGUCAGCUGUGAAAACUCGAGGCUCAACCUCGAGACGCCGGUUGAAACCAUCUGACUAGAGUCCGGAAGAGGAGAGUGGAAUUCCUGGUGUAGCGGUGAAAUGCGCAGAUAUCAGGAAGAACACCCGUGGCUAAGGCGGCUCUCUAGUACGGUACUGACGCUGAGACGCGAAAGCGUGGGGAGCGAACAGG